rnacentral:rRNA from 1 species
UGGGGAAUUUUGGACAAUGGGCGCAAGCCUGAUCCAGCAAUGCCGCGUGCAGGAAGAAGGCCUUCGGGUUGUAAGCUGCUUUUGUACGGAACGAAACGGCGAACUCUAAUACAGUUUGCUAAUGACGGUACCGUAAGAAUAAGCACGGGCUAACGACGUGCCAGCAGCCGCGGUAAUACGUAGGGUGCAAGCGUUAAUCGGAAUUACUGGGCGUAAAGCGUGCGCAGGCGGUUUUGUAAGACAGUCGUGAAAGCCCCGGGCUCAACCUGGGAAUUGCGAUUGUGACUGCAAAGCUGGAGUGCGGCAGAGGGGGAUGGAAUUCCGCGUGUAGCAGUGAAAUGCGUAGAUAUGCGGAGGAACACCGAUGGCGAAGGCAAUCCCCUGGGCCUGCACUGACGCUCAUGCACGAAAGCGUGGGGAGCAAACA